UACGUAGGGGGCAAGCGUUAUCCGGAUUUACUGGGUGUAAAGGGAGCGUAGGUGGCAAGGCAAGCCAGAAGUGAAAACCCGGGGCUUAACCCCGCGGAUUGCUUUUGGAACUGUCUGGCUGGAGUGCAGGAGGGGCAGGCGGAAUUCCUAGUGUAGCGGUGAAAUGCGUAGAUAUUAGGAGGAACUCCGGUGGCGAAGGCGGCCUGCUGGACUGUAACUGACACUGAGGCUCGAAAGCGUGGGGAGCAAACAGG
rnacentral:rRNA from 1 species